rnacentral:rRNA from 1 species
CAGCAGCCGCGGGAAUACGUAGGGUGCGAGCGUUAAUCGGAAUUACUGGGCGUAAAGCGUGCACAGGCGGUUAUGUAAGACAGGUGUGAAAUCCCCGGGCUUAACCUGGGAACUGCGCUUGUGACUGCACAGCUAGAGUAUGGCAGAGGGGGGUGGAAUUCCACGUGUAGCAGUGAAAUGCGUAGAGAUGUGGAGGAACACCGAUGGCGAAGGCAGCCCCCUGGGCCAAUACUGACGCUCAUGCACGAAAGCGUGGGGAGCAAACAGGAUUAGAUACCCCAGUAGUUCCCUGUCUCUUAUU